rnacentral:rRNA from 1 species
UUAGAACGUCGUGAGACAGUUCGGUCCCUAUCUGCCGUGGGCGUUGGAGAAUUGAGAGGGGCUGCUCCUAGUACGAGAGGACCGGAGUGGACGCAUCACUGGUGUACCAGUUGUCUCGCCAGAGGCAUUGCUGGGUAGCUAAAUGCGGAAGAGAUAAGUGCUGAAAGCAUCUAAGCACGAAACUCGCCUUAAGAUGAGUUCUCCCUAGCUAUAAGCUAGUAAGGGUUGUUGAAGACUACGACGUAGAUAGGUCUGGUGUGUAAGCGGUGUGAGCCGUUGAGCUAACAGAUACUAAUUGCCCGAGAGGCUUAACUAU